UACGUAGGGUGCAAGCGUUAAUCGGAAUUACUGGGCGUAAAGCGUGCGCAGGCGGUUUUGUAAGUCUGUCGUGAAAUCCCCGGGCUCAACCUGGGAAUUGCGAUGGAGACUGCAAGGCUAGAAUCUGGCAGAGGGGGGUAGAAUUCCACGUGUAGCAGUGAAAUGCGUAGAGAUGUGGAGGAACACCGAUGGCGAAGGCAGCCCCCUGGGUCAAGAUUGGACGCUCAUGCACGAAGCGUGGGGAGCAACAAGG
rnacentral:rRNA from 1 species